AUCCAGCUGACGAGUCCCAAAUAGGACGAAACGUGUGUCGUGGAU
rnacentral:hammerhead_ribozyme from 1 species